rnacentral:rRNA from 1 species
UACAGAGGUCUCAAGCGUUGUUCGGAUUCAUUGGGCGUAAAGGGUGUGUAGGUGGCGCGCUAAGUCGGGUGUGAAAUUUCGGAGCUUAACUCCGAAACUGCAUUCGAUACUGGCGUGCUUGAGGACUGGAGAGGAGACUGGAAUUCAUGGUGUAGCAGUGAAAUGCGUAGAGAUCAUGAGGAAGACCAGUGGCGAAGGCGGGUCUCUGGACCGAUACUGACGCUGAGGAGCGAAAGCGUGGGGAGCAAACAGG